rnacentral:rRNA from 1 species
UACGUAGGGGGCUAGCGUUGUUCGGAAUCACUGGGCGUAAAGGGUGCGUAGGCGGGUCUUUAAGUCAGGGGUGAAAUCCUGGAGCUCAACUCCAGAACUGCCUUUGAUACUGAGGAUCUUGAGUUCGGGAGAGGUGAGUGGAACUGCGAGUGUAGAGGUGAAACUCGUAGAUAUUCGCAAGAACACCAGUGGCGAAGGCGGCUCACUGGCCCGAUACUGACGCUGAGGCACGAAAGCGUGGGGAGCAAACAGG